GAUGAACGCUGGCGGCGUGCCUAAGACAUGCAAGUCGAACGAAGCAUCGAUCUUGGAUCCCUUCGGGGUGAAGAGGUCGAUGACUUAGUGGCGAACGGGUGAGUAACACGUGAGUGACCU
rnacentral:rRNA from 1 species